AGGCGCGAAACCUUUACACUGCACGACAGUGCGAUAGGGGGACUCCGAGUGCGAGGGCAUAGAGCCCUCGCUUUUCUGUACCGUAAGGAGGUACAGGAAGAAGGGCUGGGCAAGACCGGUGCCAGCCGCCGCGGUAAUACCGGCAGCCCAAGUGAUGGCCGAUAUUAUUGGGCCUAAAGCGUCCGUAGCCGGCCGGACAAGUCCGUUGGGAAAUCCGCAUGCUUAACGUGCGGGCGUCCAGCGGAAACUGUCCGGCUUGGGACCGGAAGACCCGAGGGGUACGUCCGGGGUAGGAGUGAAAUCCUGUAAUCCCGGACGGACCACCUGUGGCGAAAGCGCCUCGGGAAGACGGAUCCGACGGUGAGGGACGAAAGCCAGGGUCUCGAACCGGAUUA
rnacentral:rRNA from 1 species